AACGAACGCUGGCGGCAUGCCUAACACAUGCAAGUCGAACGAGACCUUCGGGUCUAGUGGCGCACGGGUGCGUAACGCGUGGGAACCUGCCCUUAGGUUCGGAAUAACUCCCCGAAAGGGGUGCUAAUACCGGAUAAUGUCUUCGGACCAAAGAUUUAUCGCCUUUGGAUGGGCCCGCGUUGGAUUAGCUAGUUGGUAGGGUAAAAGCCUACCAAGGCGACGAUCCAUAGCUGGUCUGAGAGGAUGAUCAGCCACACUGGGACUGAGACACGGCCCAGACUCCUACGGGAGGCAGCAGUGGGGAAUAUUGGACAAUGGGCGAAAGCCUGAUCCAGCAAUGCCGCGUGAGUGAUGAAGGCCUUAGGGUUGUAAAGCUCUUUUACCCGGGAUGAUAAGACAGUACCGGGAGAAUAAGCUCCGGCUAACUCCGUG
rnacentral:rRNA from 1 species